AUGAUGAGCUUUGGUGGCUCUGAGGCACUGCUGGGUGCUGAACGGCAGCAGCAGCCUCCACUACACGCUGACCCUAAAGGGCAGCACAAGCAGAAGGCGCUCGGCUGCUGGAUCCUCCAGCGGGUUCCACUCAUGGACACGGAUGUCCAUGAGCUCCAUGUCAGCCUCGCCCAGCCACUUCGGGGGCGCCUGCCGCCUUGAGCACUGACUGGCUGGACACGCUGACCAAUGGGAUGGGAGGGCUGAGUGGUGGCGGCAGCCACAGCGCACAGUGAGAAGGAGCAGCUGCAGGUGCUGAAGGACUGCUUCACAGGCUAGAGCGACAAGGUGCGGCAACUAGACGUGCACAACUGCAGCCUGGAGGGUGAGGCGGUGGUGCUGCGAUAGCAGCAGGCAGGCUGCACCACCGUGGGUGAGCUGUAUGAACUCGAGGUCUGCGGGAUGCGCCCCACGGUGCUGUGCCUGGGCAUGGUGCGCAGUCUGCUGCGCCUGGAGCAGGAGCACCUGCUCCAGGACUUCCACAUGUGCACCGGUGCCUCCAUGAUGAGGCCCAGCAGCACAAAGAGGUCAAGGCUUGUGCUGUUGGCGGCUUCUUGCAGGAGGCCGAGGCGGCGGGCGUGGAACUGCAGAAGAAGGCGCAGGCACUGCAAGAGGAGUGUAGCUACCUGUGGCACCGCCAGCAGGAGCAGGUGGGCGAGCUGCUCGGCCAGAUGCAGGGCUGCGGCGCCUCGCAGGCGCAGGCGCAGGUGCAGGCCGCGGAGGGGACGCCCUCAAGUGUGACGUGAUGUCACGGCGUCUGCACUGCAUGAGAUCUGCGGCAGCUUGAAGGCCAUGCGGUGCAGAGCACGCUGCAGUUUGAGGAGUGGUUCCAAGUGAGGAUGGACCGACUGUCUGAGGCAGCCAAGGUGAACACAGACUCCAUGUGCUGAGUGCAGGAGGAGAUAACUGAGUAUCAGCGUCAGCUUCCGGCCGAGACCACAGAGCUGGAGGCACUGAAGAGCACCAUCGACUCACUGGACAGGCAGUGUUCUGAGCUGGAGGACCGUCAUCAGGCCGACAUUGCCUCCUACCAGGAAGCCACUCAGCAGCUGGACGCUGGAACACCAAGUGAGAAAUGGCGGCCCAGCUGCGAGAGUACUACCAGGACCUGCUCAAUGUCAAGAUGGCUCUGGAUAUAGAGAUAGCCCCUUACAGAAAACUCCUGGAAGGUGAGGAAUGUCAGACUGGCUUUGGCCCAAUUCCUUUCUCACUUCCAGAAGGACUCCUCCAAAUGCCCUCCAUGUCCACUCACAUAAAGGUCUAAAGCAAAGAGAAGAUCAAAGUGGUAGAGAAGUCUGAGAAAGAAACUGUGAUUGUGGAGGAACAGACAGAGGAGACCCAAGUGACUGAAAAAGUGACUGAAGAAGAGGAGAAAGAGGCCAAAGAGGAGGAGGUCAAGGAGGAAGAAGGGGGUGAAGAAGAGGAGGCAAAAGGGGGAGAAGAAGAAGCAAAGUCUCCCCUAGCAGAAGAGGCCACAUCCCCAGAGAAGGAAGCCAAGUCCCCAGUGAAGGAAGAGGCAAAGUCACCGGCUGAGGCCAAGUCCCCAGAGAAGGAGGAAGCAAAAUCCCCAGCUGAGGUGAAGUCUUCUGGGAAGGCCAAGUCCCCAACAAAGGAAGAGGCAAAGUCACUGGCUAAGGCCAAGUCCCCACAGAAAGAGGAAGCAAAAUCUCCAGCUGAGAUCAAGUCCCCCCGGGAAGGCCAAGUCCCCAGCAAAGGAAGAGGCAAAGUCACUGGCUGAGGCCAAGUCUCCAAAGAAGGCCAAGUCCCCAGUGAAGGAAGAAGCAAAGUCCCCUGAGAAGGCCAAGACUCUUGAUGUGAAGUCUCCAGAAGCCAACACUCCAGCAAAGGAGGAAGCAAGGCCCUCUGCAGAUAAAUCCCCCAAAAAGGCCAAAAGCCCUGUCAAAGAGGAGGUCAAGUUCCCAGAGAAGGUGAAGUCUCCCCUGAAAGAGGAUGCCAAGGCCCCCGAGAAGGAGAUCCCAAAGAAGGAAGAGGUGAAGUCCCCAGUGAAGGAGGAGGAGAAGCCCCAGGACGUAAAAGUCAAAGAGCCUGCAAAGAAGGCAGAGGAAGAGAAAGCUACCGCCACGCCAAAAACAGAGAAGGAGAGCAAGAAAGAGGAGUCAUCCAACAAGGAGGCUCCAAAGCCCGAGGUGGAGGAGAAGGAAGCUGCCAUCGAAAAGCCCAAAGAAUCCAAAGUUGAAGCCAAGAAGGAAGAGGCUGAAGAUAAGAAAAAAGCAGCCACCUUAGAGAAGGAGGCUCCUGCCAAGGUGGAGGUGAAGGAAGACGCUAAACCCAAAGAGAAGACAGAGAUGGCCAAGAAGGAACCAGAUGAUGCCAAGGCCAAGGAACCCAGAAAACCAGCAGAGAGGGAGGAGGCGGCAGCAGCAAUGGAGAAAAAAGAUACCAAGGAGGAGAAGGCCACUGAGUUCAAGAAGCCUGAGGAGAAACCCAAGACCCAAAGCCAAAGACGACCCUCUCAAAGGAGCUCAGUGAACCUAAGGCGGAAAAGGCUGAAAAAUCCUCCAGCACAGACCAAAAAGACAGCAGGCCUCCAGAGAAGGCCACAGAAGACAAGGCUGCCAAGGGGAAGUAA
rnacentral:lncRNA from 1 species